AUUUAUCUAUAAAUUUUUGGGUAAUCAAUAUUUUUAUUCAUAUCCGCCCAAUUCUUUUUCUUUUUUUACUUCUAUACUUCCAAAUGCAAAACACAUGUAUAAAUUUUUUAAAAAUAUAACAUAACUUUCUGUUUGAAAUAUCAUAACAUAUAAUAAACAAUAUAAAAUUUUUAAAAUAUAUACAUUACAUAAUAUAAAAAUAUUUUACCAUUCCAAAUUUUAUAAUAUAAAAUUAAUAAAAUUAUUAUUAUUAUUAUAGAGUCAAUAUUAUAAAAAUUACAUAUUUUUUAAUCUAAAAAAUAUAUAAACAGAUACCUAUGGAUAUCCGUGGGUUGUCCAAAAAUACCCACCACUCAACGAAUACCUAUUUU
rnacentral:lncRNA from 1 species